rfam:Camelus ferus unplaced genomic scaffold scaffold144, whole genome shotgun sequence.
GGGGCUAGAGCUCAGUGGUAGAGCCCGUGCUUAGCAUGUACAAGGUCCUGGGUUCAAUCUCCAGUACUUCCA